rnacentral:rRNA from 1 species
AGUAAAUUGGUUAAGUUAGAAAGGGCGCACGGUGGAUGCCUUGGCACUAGGAGCCGAAGAAGGACGGGACUAACACCGAUAUGCUUUGGGGAGCUGUACGUAAGCGUUGAUCCAGAGAUUUCCGAAUGGGGGAACCCACUAUCUUUAGUCGGAUAGUAUCCUUACGUGAAUACAUAGCGUAAGGAAGGCAGACCCAGGGAACUGAAACAUCUAAGUACCUGGAGGAAGAGAAAGAAAAAUCGAUUUCCUGAGUAGCGGCGAGCGAAACGGAAAGAGCCCAAACCAAGAAGCUUGCUUCUUGGGGUUGUAGGACACUCUAUACGGAGUUACAAAAGAAAGUUAUAAAUGAAGCGGUCUGGAAAGGCCCGCCAAAGACGGUAACAGCCCGGUAGUUGAAAUGGCUUUCCCUCCAGAGUGGAUCCUGAGUACGGCGGAACACGUGAAAUUCCGUCGGAAUCCGGGAGGACCAUCUCCCAAGGCUAAAUACUCCCUAGUGACCGAUAGUGAACCAGUACCGUGAGGGAAAGGUGAAAAGCACCCCGGAAGGGGAGU